rnacentral:lncRNA from 1 species
AAGCUAGGAAUAGAAAAUAUGAUGUGACACAUCUUAUUGCUCAAGGAAGUGGUUUAUCUUUUUUCUCCUUUUUUUGCUUUUUUAAAAUCUAAAUUCUCUUAUCCAGGUAGACAUAUUAUAUUUUACCUAUUAUCAUUGAAAGGAAUAUGAAACUGAUGCCUUUGUUAAUCUCAUUUAUUACAUCGCAUCAUUAUCUCUCAAUGAAUAGCAUACAUCACUUACAAAAAACUUUUCACCUAUUGGUUUUCCUCAAUUAAAUAAAUUUCCAUGGCUUCAUCUGUCUCUACAUAAUAAUCCAAUAAUGGUUGCUACCUUUGCAAGGUGUAACCUUUCAAUUUCAUAUUUAUGGAGAAAAAAGAACUACUACAAUCUCCUGUAGUGAGCAGAGACUUAUCUACAAAUAUAGGCUCCCUUCCUGUCAUAAAACAUAACUUCCAGGCAAUGGUUCUUUCGGCCAGGUUUGUAUUCUUUUAUCCUCAGUUCCUGACUAACUUUACAGGUUUUUUCAAAAUUUCCGGCAUUACAUUAUUUAUGACAUAUUCUCAGAUUUUUGUUUUACUGCAUGUCGUAGUAUUUUGGGAUGCUAUAAUUUUAGAAAAUUUAGAGAAUUUUGUCACUAUCCUCUAUUUAAUGUAUACAAUGUAUCUCUUUUUACUUGUGUUUUGCCUUUAUAUUUUGCUUGACUGUCUCUCGUUUUAUUUUUUCCUUUUCGGAUUUUGUUCAUUUAUUUACUUAUAUGACGAAAUUAGUUUAUUGGGCUUGCAAGACUGUUCUUGAAUAUGCAUAUAUGCCUUUUUUUUUAGUGUAGUAAAAUUAUUGAUAAGAACAAAGUUCCCUCUUGUAAUCAUUUUAUUUUAUUUGUAUUCCUUCUAUAAUCUUUAGUUUGGAAUCAAGUGGGUUCUAAACUACAUAGAAAUUAAAGUUUGAUGAAUCAGUUUAUGUAGUCAAUAUGUAUGUUCGUUAUUUAGCCUAAAAAUGUCUAUUUGCUGAAAGAAAUACUAUUCAACUUCUUUAUGGACUAACUUUUUUCUUAUGAAGCAGAAGAUGAAUGGAGUCAACACAACGUUAAGAGGCUUAUUGUACAUCUCUUUGGGUUAACCGAAGAAUUUCUUCUAUUGUGCUGCAAAAGAAUGUGGUAGUACAAGAAAUUUAAAAGUUUUUUAUUACUCUAGGUUCUAAUUUGGAGAAAUAUAUUUUUGUAAAGAUUGGAGAAACACAUAAACAUUACACUUAUGCAAGAUGAUGUGUCACUUCUUUUAGGCCAAGGAUAUUGGAUUUAUCUUUUUUCUCCUUUUUUGCCUUUUUCUCUACUUUUUUUAUCUUAUUGUAAGAAUAAAUGUUAUGGUUCGUUCCCCCUCCCUUAUUUAUGGUCUUUACACAAAGUAAUUAAUUCCGUA